AGGAGGUCCUGGGGCCGCCCUGAAGGCAGAACAUGAGAAUUCUGGGCCCUCCAGACCUCAUGC
ensembl:miRNA Mir5621 microRNA 5621